UGCCACCUCCUCCAGGAAGCCACCCCUGAUCUCUCACCCCUCACCUCACCCUCACUUGCCACCUUUGUGGUUUGUGACUCCCAGGUACGCCUCCUAAAUUAAACCAUGACCUCCUCAUCAGACGCCUCCUUGGGAUGAGUGCGCUCUGCCCAUCGGCCUUGUCUUAAGCCUGACCUUGGUCGCCCCUGUGACUCACAGGACCUGGGUUUCCAGAGCUCCAGCCAUCUGAGGGUAAUAAAGGGAAGUGACUGCCUGGACCUGACUUUGGCAUUGCAGAUUCUGGGAGGUGGCUGUUCGGGAAACGGCAGCCCCACCUCCCUGGGUGUCUACUGCUAUCCCCAGCCAUCUCACCUCUUAGGGGGUGCGGGGUCUUCCUCACGCUGCCGGCGGAGGAUGGAGCCGGCACUGGGGGGGAAGGGCAGGA
rnacentral:lncRNA from 1 species